CCUACGGGAGGCAGCAGUAAGGAAUAUUGGUCAAUGGGCGCAAGCCUGAACCAGCCAUGCCGCGUGCAGGAUGACGGCCCUCUGGGUUGUAAACUGCUUUUAUACGGGAAGAACAGCAUCUACGUGUAGGUGUUUGACGGUACUGUAAGAAUAAGGACCGGCUAACUUCGUGCCAGCAGCCGCGGUAAUACGAAGGGUCCAAGCGUUAUCCGGAUUUAUUGGGUUUAAAGGGUGCGUAGGCGGCUUUUUAAGUCAGUGGUGAAAGCCUGAUGCUCAACAUCAGAACUGCCAUUGAUACUGAAGAGCUUGAGUACAGUUGAGGUUGGCGGAAUGUGUCAUGUAGCGGUGAAAUGCUUAGAUAUGACACAGAACACCGAUUGCGAAGGCAGCUAGCUAAGCUGUUACUGACGCUGAUGCACGAAAGCGUGGGGAGCAAACAGGAUUAGAUACCCUGGUAGUCCACGCCCUAAACGUUGAUAACUCGUUGUUAGCGAUAUACUGUUAGCGACCAAGCGAAAGCAUUAAGUUAUCCAACCGUGGGAAGUUACGGUUCGCAAAGUUNUUAGAACUUAAGAGAGUUACGGCGNGNGAGAGCGACGACGCGACGACGGAGGAGGAGG
rnacentral:rRNA from 1 species